rnacentral:lncRNA from 1 species
UAACACAACAGAACUAUUGAUGCGAAAGUUCGAAGAUAUAAACAGGUAAGGGCAUACGUGUGAUGACCGGCAGCGUUGAGUCCACGACGAUCGGAAGCGAGA